rnacentral:rRNA from 1 species
AGUGAACGCUGGCGGUAGGCCUAACACAUGCAAGUCGAACGGCAGCACAGGAGAGCUUGCUCUCUGGGUGGCGAGUGGCGGACGGGUGAGGAAUACAUCGGAAUCUGCCCAGUCGUGGGGGAUAACGUAGGGAAACUUACGCUAAUACCGCAUACGACCUUCGGGUGAAAGAGGGGGAUCGCAAGACCUCUCGCGAUUGGAUGAGCCGAUGUCGGAUUAGCUAGUUGGCGGGGUAAUGGCCCACCAAGGCGACGAUCCGUAGCUGGUCUGAGAGGAUGAUCAGCCACACUGGAACUGAGACACGGUCCAGACUCCUACGGGAGGCAGCAGUGGGGAAUAUUGGACAAUGGGCGCAAGCCUGAUCCAGCCAUACCGCGUGGGUGAAGAAGGCCUUCUGGUUGUAAAGCCCUUUUGUUGGGAAAGAAAUCUUUCAGGCUAAUACCCUGGGAGGAUGACGGUACCCAAAGAAUAAGCACCGGCUAACUUCGUG